CAUCACAAACGCAGCGGCAGCGCGCGGAGGGAACUCAAAGCCUGACUGGUUCUUCCUUAAGCUGGACGCGAGCUGGUUGGCAACCGGCCUUCAGUGGGUGGCCUUCAGUUAGUGCCUUCAGUGGGUGCCUCAAGGUGGUGGCAUUUGGUUGCCUUUGCUGGGGAGAGGCGGCAGGUGCUAGCUCUGCAGCCGUGGGGGCAAGCGAAGGCCCGAGCUGCCCGAGAAGAGCGGAGGUGCCCCAUGGGGACCACGCUGACCUGUCGCAUGUGCACCAAAGCCAGCCCCUGGCAGGGCCGGCGGGGGGUUCUGCGGGGCCAUCCUGUGGCUCUGACAUCUGUGAGUGGGCGGCCAGCAAAGGCACAGGCCCCAGCAGAGAGGAGCAGAGACGCCCAGAACACGCUGGUCCCAUGUCAGCCCCAAGCGGGGCCAGCUGGGGUGCGGUGGGCAGAGCCUUCCUGCAGCUCUGAGAUCCAUGAGGUGCAGGUGGGAGUAGCGCCAGGCUCCACUGCGUUGGUGCCCACCCAGUCCGAUUCCGGAGCCGUGACUGGCAGCGCCCUGGCGACCAGAAGAGCCCAAAGCUCUUUGUCCUGGGCAGAGCUUGCUGCACCUUCCAGUUGCAGUAAUCAAGGAAGCGGAGUCCCUGCAAUUCUUCAAGGAACCUUGAGAACUCAGGAGGUCCUGGGGUGGCUGCAUCAAUCCUGCAGACCAAUGCCAAUCAGCAGAGGGGCCAUUCCCAGGGCCACAUGGCUGGCUGAGUUGGGCCUUGGCCAGGCACGUGCAUACGCUUACAGACACAGAGAGGAUGAAGAACGGCUACUUAGCGAGUUCGAGACAGGCAAAAAGUAA
ensembl:lncRNA